rnacentral:rRNA from 1 species
UACGUAGGGCGCGAGCGUUGUCCGGAAUUAUUGGGCGUAAAGAGCUCGUAGGCGGCCUGUUGCGUCUGCUGUGAAAUCCCGGGGCUUAACCCCGGGCGUGCAGUGGAUACGGGCAGGCUGGAGGCAGGCAGGGGAGAAUGGAAUUCCCGGUGUAGCGGUGAAAUGCGCAGAUAUCGGGAGGAACACCGGUGGCGAAGGCGGUUCUCUGGGCCUUACCUGACGCUGAGGAGCGAAAGCGUGGGGAGCAAACAGG